GAGCAUUUUAAAAGAUCAAAUGUCAUCGAAAAUCUUGAUAGAAACAGAGAUCAUUUUAACAAUUCUCUCCCUGAAAAACUCUCAUUCUCUCGCUCUCCAAGAAAUGAAAAAACCAAUAAAAGGAUUAUAGCUAAGGCCUUUUCUCUUAUAUAUACAAGCAUUUAUACCUCUUCAGCCUGCAACUAAUCUUCAAUCAUUUUAGCAGCUAUCAACAAGACAGACUCCUAUUAAAGAGUGAGCGACUUCCAACAAAAAUUUAGCCAACAUCAAAAAGGUCUUGCAUUGAUUUGGCUGCAUUCAUGCGCAAGUAACAUUUCUUGACCAUUAUCUACUCAUUCUUAAGAUUGCAAUUGAUGGUUCUCACAUAUUGCUUGCCAUUUCUGAAAGAUAAACUCAUAAUUUUAAAUUUCCAUAGAGAGUUUAAUCUAACUUGUGAGGAUGAGCAGCGUGUUAAUAAUAUGAUUAAAACAAGAUCAUUGAAAUGGAGAAGUGUGAUAGGGAGUUAAGUACUAAGAUCCCAGAAAUCAUGAGGGCCAAAGUUUUACAAGAUUGAAAUUUGACAAGCUAUUGUGUACAAUAGUCUGGAUGCUGAAGAAAAAACAAAUGUAUAAAAUUACCCUCACAGAAUCUUGUAUCCCAGUUCCUUCCCCACCCCAUGCUAGCUAGUUUUGUUGAAUUUCAAUUGAGAGCAUGUUUUAGGGAAACCUGAUUUACUUUGGGCAGAGAUGGGGUGGGGCAGGAACUACCAAUAAUCACAUUGGAACCUUUUUUUGUUAACUACAAGUAGCUCUGAAACACAAUUUUUGUUUGGGUAACCCAAUCACUAUUUCAGCCCAAAAAAACAUAAGGCUUGCCAUCCUUCCUCAAGCUAGAUACAACCAACUUGGCAAUAUAUGUAAUGAUAAGCAAAAGUCUCCUGCCUUAGACAAUCAAGCUUUUCUCAAGCCCUCCAGAGAAAUUGAUUGAUCAAAAUUCAACCUCAUAGAUUUCAGUGAACCAUCACUCAACCAUUUUUUUUCUGUUCUUUCAGUUGUCCUAAUUGCAAACCUAGGUGUGCCAGCUUUUUCUUUUAUCAAAACUCGUUCCAUAGCUUUAAAAACCAACAAGAUCUAUGACACUUAAGACAUAAAAAGAUCACAGCCUUGGAGCGCAAGUCAUAAAAGUCGGUUUUCCUUCUCUCCUUCCAGCACAAAAUGAUUUUUUUUUCAAUAGCUACAAAAUUGACUGCUACUGCCUUCCAUCAGGAUGAAUG
rnacentral:misc_RNA from 1 species